rnacentral:rRNA from 1 species
UCGGAUAAGAGGCUGAAACUCGCCUCUUUGAAGUCGGAAUCGCUAGUAAUCGCAGAUCAGCAUGUUGCGGUGAAUACGUUUCCUGGUCUUGUACACACCGCCCGUCAAACCAUGAGAGUCGCCAACACCCGAAGUCCGCUUUGCGGCCUAAGGGUGGGGGAGAUGAUUGGGGUUAAGUCGUAACAAGGUACC